rnacentral:rRNA from 1 species
CCUACGGGAGGCUGCAGUGCGGGAUAUUGCACAAUGGGGGAAACCCUGAUGCAGCGACGCCGCGUGAGUGAAGAAGUAUCUCGGUAUGUAAAGCUCUAUCUGCAGGGAAGAAAAUGACAGUACCUGACCAACAAGCCCCGGCUAACUACGUGACAGCAGCCGCGGGAAUACGUAGGGGGCAAGCGUUAUCCGGAUUUACUGGGUGUAAACGGGGCGUAGACGGUUAUGUAAGGCUGGAGUGAAAGCCCGGGGCCCAAGCCCGGGACUGCUGUGGAAAAUGUGUAACUGGAGUGCAGGAGGGGCAUGCGGAAUGCGUGGUGUAGCGGUGAAAUGCGUAGAUAUCAGGAGGAAGACCGACGGCGAAGGCGGCAUGCUGGCCUGAAACUGACGUUGAGGCUCGAAAGCGUGGGGAGCGAACAGGAUUAGAUACCCGUGUAGUC